GGACUACCGGGGUAUCUAAUCCCGUUUGCUCCCCUGGCUUUCGCGCCUCAGCGUCAGAAAAGGACCAGCACUCCGCUUUCGCCACCGGCGUUCCUGUCGAUAUCAACGCAUUUCACCGCUCCACCGACAGUUCCAAGUGCCCCUGCCUUCCUCCAGCCGCAGUGGUAUCGUAAGCACUUCCCCAGUUAAGCUGGGGGAUUUCACCCACGACCCGCUCGGCCGCCUACGCGCCCUUUAAGCCCAGUGAUUCCGAACAACGUUCGCACGGUUCGUCUUACCGCGGCUGCUGGCAC
rnacentral:rRNA from 1 species